rnacentral:sRNA from 1 species
UAUAUGGUCCAACAGUAUGAUAACAGCGGUAAACAAUACCAGGCUGGCUCUUACAACAACGCUCAGUACAAUGGUAACUACGCCAGCCAAUAUCAGGCCCCAAAGAGCGCAGAUUCCUACGCCAAG